rnacentral:rRNA from 1 species
UACAGAGGGGGCAAGCGUUGUUCGGAAUUACUGGGCGUAAAGGGCGCGUAGGCGGCCUGUUAAGUCGAACGUGAAAUCCCCGGGCUCAACCCGGGAACUGCGUCCGAUACUGGCAGGCUUGAAUUCGGGAGAGGGAUGCGGAAUUCCAGGUGUAGCGGUGAAAUGCGUAGAUAUCUGGAGGAACACCGGUGGCGAAGGCGGCAUCCUGGACCGAGAUUG